rnacentral:misc_RNA from 1 species
GCAUACAUCACAGUUUGUCGCAUACAGACGCCACUAAUCAAGAUGGCGAGCAUAUUUCUUGCUGUAAGUUUUCUGGCACUUUUACUCUUAGACACAAAAUGUGUUUGCGGUAAUACUUGUGAUUGUGAGAUGGUUAAGGAUAUACUGACCGAUGAAAUGUUUGAUCUAAAGGCUGAAAAUAAACAACUGGAGUCUAGAAUUGAAAAGAUGGAAUUGAUGAUGCAGACAAAGACUUUAGUAUCGUACCAAGCAGUCGAAAAAGACCCGGAUUGGAUUCAGAGGAUAGAAACAAGAAUCAAUGCUAUCGAAUCUAAGAUUCUAGAAAGUACGAAAGUUUCGUGGAACCCAUUUAAACUGCAAAGCCUCGUAACUAAAGCGCUGCGUUCAGAGAAAAAAGAACGACUAAAAUCUAAAUUGAAAAUAGCUGCAGGUCUGAAGAAAAUUAAUAACAGCCUGAAGGCGUUCAACGUUCAAUCAGAUGCCGUUUUCGCAUCACAUAUUGCAAAUAUCUCAGAUCGUAUACUGGACAUUAGAACGGAGCUGUCAAAGAACAUUUCUGUUGUCAGAAAUGAAGUAACAGCGUUUAGUAAUCGUACAGCCAGGUUUAUCAAAUGAGACAAAUUCUUUAAUUGAGAAUAAAAUGAAAACAAUCGAGAUGUCCAUCGAUGCCACGAAACACGACGUUUCAAAGAUGGGUGCUGAUUUAAAAAGUGUUAUAGAUAUUGUUAAAACGGAGUUGUCACAGAACAUUUCAGUUGUCAGAAAUGAAGUAACGGCCGUCAGUAAUAAUGUAGCAAAGCUGGCAAAUCAGACAAAUUCAUUAAUGGAGAAUAAAAUAACAACAAUCGAAAUUUCACUUCAUGCCAUGAACAACAACGUUUCACAGAUGGGUGCUGACUUAAAUACCAUUAUAGAUAUUGUACUUCUAGAUCAAAAAGCGGAAUGCGAACCAACCUGCACUAACGGAGGCGUGUGCUUCAAAGACAACACAUGCAGGUGUAAACCUUUCACAGAGGGGCCAAACUGUGAAAUAUUUUUUUGUGAAGACAAAUGCUACGAGAACGGAGGAAAAUGUGUAGGUCCUGGAAAAUGUGAAUGUCCAGAAUACAGAAACGGAACUAACUGUGGGCAAUUUUUUUGUGACGACAAAUGCUACGUGAACGGAGGAAAAUGCGUAGGUCCUGGCAACUGUGAAUGUCCAGAAUACAGAAACGGAACUAACUGUGAGGAAUAUCUUUGUGGAUCGGAUAAAUUCAAGUGUUCUUCCGACAAGUGUAUAGAUAAGGACUACCGAUGUGACGGUGACAACGAUUGUUGCGACGGCUCUGACGAAUCCAACUGCCAUCUUUGUGGAUCGGAUGAAUUCAUGUGUUCUUCCGACAAGUGUAUAAAUAAGUCCUGGAGAUGUGACGGUUACAACGAUUGUGGAGACGGCUCUGACGAAUCCAACUGCCAUUUGUAUGAUUGUGGAUCAAAUAGAUUCAAGUGUUCUUCCGACAAGUGUAUACAUAUGGACUACCGAUGUAACGGUGACGACGAUUGUGGCGACGGCUCUGACGAAUCCAACUGCCAUUUGUAUGAUUGUGGACCGAAUGAAUUCAAGUGUUCUUCCGGCAGUUGUAUACAUGUGUCCCGGAGAUGUGACGGUUACAACCAUUGUGGCGACCGCUCUGACGAAUCCAACUGCCAUUUGUAUGAUUGUGGAUCGAAUGGAUUGAAGUGUUCUUCCGGCAAGUGUAUAUAUAAGUCCCAGAGAUGUGACGGUUACAACAAUUGUGGCGACGGCUCUGACGAAUCCAACUGCCAUUUGUAUGAUUGUGGAUCGAAUAGAUUGAAGUGUUCUUCCGGCAAGUGUAUACGUAAGUCCCAGAGAUGUGACGGUUACAACAGUUGUGGCGACGGCUCUGACGAAUCCAACUGCCUUGAACCGCAACAGCCUUCAGAUUUGUGCUGAUGAGGAAGGCAGGGAGUACAUUUCUCUGAUCCAUGAAGUGAAAGAAAAAGAAAAUCGAAGUGACGUCGCAAAUGAAAAGAAAAUUUAUGCUAUAGAAGGUGGCAGUGAAAAUUGUCCUUUCAGAACUUGAAGGCUUGUAUGCUCACUGUGACCCAAAUGCUUAAAAGCUAUUUUGUCAUGUAAACAUGUUUGUCAGAUUUGGUACAACACUAAACCAGUCAGCAUCAAAAAAUUCGCCAGUUUUAUGGGCGAUAUUUCUAGAAAUGCACGUCUUGACACACGAUUUGUAUGAUUGUGGAUCGAAUAGAUUUAAGUGUUCUUCCGACAAGUGUAUACAUAAGUCAUUGAGAUGUGACGGUAUCGACGAUUGUAGCGACGGCUCUGACG